rnacentral:rRNA from 1 species
GACGAACGCUGGCGGCGUGCUUAACACAUGCAAGUCGAACGGUAAGGCCCUUCGGGGUACACGAGUGGCGAACGGGUGAGUAACACGUGGGUGAUCUGCCCUGCACUUCGGGAUAAGCCUGGGAAACUGGGUCUAAUACCGGAUAGGACCACUGCCUGCAUGGGUGGUGGUGGAAAGCUUUUGCGGUGUGGGAUGGGCCCGCGGCCUAUCAGCUUGUUGGUGGGGUGAUGGCCUACCAAGGCGACGACGGGUAGCCGGCCUGGGAGGGUGACCGGCCACACUGGGACUGAGAUACGGCCCAGACUCCUACGGGAGGCAGCAGUGGGGAAUAUUGCACAAUGGGCGCAAGCCUGAUGCAGCGACGCCGCGUGAGGGAUGACGGCCUUCGGGUUGUAAACCUCUUUCAGCACCGACGAAGCGCAAGUGACGGUAGGUGCAGAAGAAGGACCGGCCAACUACGUGCCAGCAGCCGCGGUAA